rnacentral:rRNA from 1 species
UACGAAGGGGGCAAGCGUUGUUCGGAAUUACUGGGCGUAAAGGGCGCGUAGGCGGCCGAUCAAGUCAGGCGUGAAAUUCCCGGGCUCAACCUGGGGGCUGCGCUUGAUACUGAUUGGCUUGAAUGCGGGAGAGGAUAGUGGAAUUCCCAGUGUAGAGGUGAAAUUCGUAGAUAUGGGGAGGAACACCGGUGGCGAAGGCGGCCACCUGGACGGAUACUGACGCUGAGACGCGAAAGCGUGGGGAGCAAACAGG